GGGCUAAACCAUGCACCGAAGCUGCGGCAGCGACACUGUGUGUUGUUGGGUAGGGGAGCGUUCUGUAAGCCUGUGAAGGUGUGUCGUGAGGCAUGCUGGAGGUAUCAGAAGUGCGAAUGCUGACAUAAGUAACGAUAAAGCGGGUGAAAAGCCCGCUCGCCGGAAGACCAAGGGUUCCUGUCCAACGUUAAUCGGGGCAGGGUGAGUCGACCCCUAAGGCGAGGCCGAAAGGCGUAGUCGAUGGGAAACGGGUUAAUAUUCCCGUACUUGGUGUUACUGCGAAGGGGGGACGGAGAAGGCUAUGUUGGCCGGGCGACGGUUGUCCCGGUUUAAGCGUGUAGGUGUGUGUUCCAGGUAAAUCCGGUUCACUUUAACACUGAGGCGUGACGACGAGGCACUACGGUGCUGAAGCAACAAAUGCCCUGCUUCCAGGAAAAGCCUCUAAGCAUCAGGUAACAUCAAAUCGUACCCCAAACCGACACAGGUGGUCAGGUAGAGAAUACCAAGGCGCUUGAGAGAACUCGGGUGAAGGAACUAGGCAAAAUGGUGCCGUAACUUCGGGAGAAGGCACGCUGACACGUAGGUGAAGUGAUUUACUCAUGGAGCUGAAGUCAGUCGAAGAUACCAGCUGGCUGCAACUGUUUAUUAAAAACACAGCACUGUGCAAACACGAAAGUGGACGUAUACGGUGUGACGCCUGCCCGGUGCCGGAAGGUUAAUUGAUGGGGUCAGCGCAAGCGAAGCUCCUGAUCGAAGCCCCGGUAAACGGCGGCCGUAACUAUAACGGUCCUAAGGUAGCGAAAUUCCUUGUCGGGUAAGUUCCGACCUGCACGAAUGGCGUAAUGAUGGCCAGGCUGUCUCCACCCGAGACUCAGUGAAAUUGAACUCGCUGUGAAGAUGCAGUGUACCCGCGGCAAGACGGAAAGACCCCGUGAACCUUUACUAUAGCUUGACACUGAACAUUGAGCCUUGAUGUGUAGGAUAGGUGGGAGGCUUUGAAGUGUGGACGCCAGUCUGCAUGGAGCCGACCUUGAAAUACCACCCUUUAAUGUUUGAUGUUCUAACGUGGACCCGUUACCCGGGUUGCGGACAGUGUCUGGUGGGUAGUUUGACUGGGGCGGUCUCCUCCUAAAGAGUAACGGAGGAGCACGAAGGUUGGCUAAUCCUGGUCGGACAUCAGGAGGUUAGUGCAA
rnacentral:rRNA from 1 species